rnacentral:lncRNA from 1 species
UGAUAGGGAUAGAGAGGCAGUGCAAGAGAGUCGAAAGAGAACUUACUUAGAAGACCUUCAGAAAUGCAAUAUAUAGGUAAGGGCCAAAGCCCGUUGCCAAGUAAUUUAUGGCUAUACGCUGGUUGAUAAAGCAAUAAAUCAUAUAUCUCGCUUGUGAAUCUCGCUCGUGUUUCUCGGUCGCAAAAUUUGCUCGGAUAUCGCGUUUGUUCGAAAACAGUUAGCGAUCACGAGCAAGUUGUUGCUAGCUGAGAUUUUUUCUUUUUAAAUACAGAUGACUCUUCACACACCUAUUGGGUCGACUAUGUAACAAGCUUUCAAUGAUCAGCUUGCAGUUAGGUAGUAAGCUUUUAUUGGUCGAUUCGUCUUGUCAGCAGAAGUCGGUUCGUCUUGUCAGCAAAGGUCAGUUAAGAGGUAUAUCAAAAUAGAAACAACAUAUAAGGUGGGAUUCGGUGGAUCUAAUUUUUAUGACAGAAAGCAAGUUAGAUCUUGAAUACCUAGAUUGGCUAGACAAUUUGGAUACUUGGAUAUUUGGAUACUUAGAUAUUUGCCACGUGUCUCAGCAUGCAUCAAGAAGAGACCAUGCCAUAUCUUACUCUACAUAGAUAUUAAUUUUUAUAUAGAAUUGUCAUGCUCUUCAAGUGGC